rnacentral:lncRNA from 1 species
AAUACCAAAAAAUCCAGAGCGAGAAAACUUUUUGUCUCUAGAUAAUGUCAUAGCAAAAGCGUGGGAACCCAUCCCUUUGGACAAAGGCAAUCCGAAUCGGCCUUUGGUAAAACGAAGAGUAUACAAGUUGGAUACAAGUGAUUCGUCUACUUUGAGAAAAAAGAAGAAUAGAAGAAAGACAGAUACAGAGUCAAAAACGUUUAUUGUGUCAGAAAUGUUCACAAAGGGUAAAUACUUUUUAACAAAGGCCAUGGGUUUGAUUCAUGGAUUCUAGCGGAAUUCCAGGCGGUACAGAUGAAAAGACUGAAAGACGCUCCCAACAGGAAGAGAAAAAUAUUAGUAUCAUCACAGAAGGUUUGCUCUAUCACUCCAAGUAGAACACAAGCAGUUUUUGGUCAAGGUGCUAAUGCCUCUGCAUAUAUUCUACCUAUGUCUGCAGUUGCACCAUGCCUAAGUUUUUUCGUAUAUCGUCCACUUUUUGGAGGAGCCUCCAAGCUUAACUUAGUUUGUCAUCAGAGGAUUCAUGAAAUGCUCUUCCAAAACGUCGAGUUGUAAAGAGGUUUCAUUGUAUUCUCUCUACAACGUGAAGUCAAACACAAGCAGUUCUCGGUCAUGUUCAAGGUGGUAAUUCCUCUACACAGCGCCUACAAGUGUCAGCAGCUGUAGCAUCUCUAACUUGCUUACUGUGUUUUCUAUUUUUGAAGACUGAUCUGCCUUUAACCCAGCCAGUCGUCAGAGGACUGUUUAAAUACUUACCCAGAACAUCCAGUUGGAAAGAGGUGAGUUCUUGGUCUUGUACCUAUAUUUUAUAAUCUUUACCAAGUUUCCAGUGGUCUGCA